rnacentral:rRNA from 1 species
UAGUCCACGCCCUAAACGAUGCUAACUCGAUGUUUGGAUUUCGGUCUGAGCAUCCAAGGGAAACCGUUAAGUUGGCCACCUGGGGAGUACGUCGGCAACGAUGAAACUCAAAGGAAUUGACGGGGGCCCGCACAAGCGGUGGAGCAUGUGGUUUAAUUCGAAGCAACGCGCAGAACCUUACCUACCCUUGACAUGCCGGUCGCGAUUUCCAGAGAUGGAUUUCUUCAAUUCGGUUGGACCGUGCACAGGUGCUGCAUGGUUGUCGUCAGCUCGUGCCGUGAGGUGUCAGGUUAAGUCCUAUAACGAGCGCAACCCCUGCCGUUAGUUGCCAGCAUGUAAAGAUGGGGACUCUAACGGGACUGCCGGUGCAAACCGUGAGGAAGGUGGGGAUGACGUCAAAUCAUCACGGCCCUUACGUCCUGGGCCACACACGUGCUACAAUGGCCGGUACAGAGAGCAGCCAUGUCGUAAGGCAGCGCGAAUCUACAAAACCGGUCACAGUUCGGAUCGGGGU